GAUGAAGAACGCAGCGAAAUGCGAUAAGUAAUGUGAAUUGCAGAAUUCAGUGAAUCAUCGAAUCUUUGAACGCACAUUGCGCCCGCCAGUAUUCUGGCGGGCAUGCCUGUUCGAGCGUCAUUUCACCCAUCAAGCCCCCGGCUUGUGUUGGGGACCUGCGGCUGCCGCAGGCCCUGAAAAGCAGUGGCGGGCUCGCUGUCACACCGAGCGUAGUAGCAUACAUCUCGCUCUGGGCGUGCUGCGGGUUCCGGCCGUUAAACCACCUUCAUAACCCAAGGUUGACCUCGGAUCAGGUAGGAAGACCCGCUGAACUUAAGCAUAUCAAUAAGCGGAGGA
rnacentral:misc_RNA from 1 species